rnacentral:rRNA from 1 species
GAUGAACGCUGGCGGCGUGCCUAAUACAUGCAAGUCGAGCGAAUGGAUUAAGAGCUUGCUCUUAUGAAGUUAGCGGCGGACGGGUGAGUAACACGUGGGUAACCUGCCCAUAAGACUGGGAUAACUCCGGGAAACCGGGGCUAAUACCGGAUAAUAUUUUGAACUGCAUGGUUCAAAAUUGAAAGGCGGCUUCGGCUGUCACUUAUGGAUGGACCCGCGUCGCAUUAGCUAGUUGGUGAGGUAACGGCUCACCAAGGCAACGAUGCGUAGCCGACCUGGGAGGGGGAUCGGCCACACUGGGACUGAGGCACGGCCCAGACUCCUACGGGAGGCAGCAGUAGGGAAUCUUCCGCAAUGGACGAAAGUCUGACGGAGCAACGCCGCGUGAGUGAUGAAGGCUUUCGGGUCGUAAAACUCUGCUGUUAGGGAAGAACAAGUGCUAGUUGAAUAAGCUGGCACCUUGACGGUACCUAACCAGAAAGCCACGGCUAACUACGUGCCAGCAGCCGCAGUAA